GCGCCCGUAGCUCAGUGGAGUAGAGGGUAGUUGGUCUUCGGAACCGAGGGUCGCGGGUUCGAAUCCUGCCGGGCGCGCCA
rnacentral:tRNA from 1 species